UUUGAAACUCACAAAGAGAGGAAGAAAGAAAAAAUUUUAUAGAGAGGAGAAGAGGGAACAUAAAAAAUGACGUAAAAAAACUAGAGGGAUUUUUUUUUGAAAAAAAAAAUUAAAAUUAAACUUAGACAAAAUUAAUUAAUUAACUAAAAAAAACUAAAAACCCCCCAACAACUCCCCCACUAACAACAUAAUCCCCUAGAAUUCUACCCACUAACCUCAUCCAACUACCUCAGAAUUUCAACUCCACUUAGCUUCUACUACCCAACCAGCACACACUCACAGAAGCAAAAAUAACAUCCUUCAUUCACAUGAGGGUUCAAACAUAAGACCCAAAGGCAAGCUAACACCUUACCACUUGAACCAACAGGCUUA
rnacentral:lncRNA from 1 species